AUUGAACGCUGGCGGCAUGCCUUACACAUGCAAGUCGAACGGUAACAGGUCUUCGGAUGCUGACGAGUGGCGAACGGGUGAGUAAUACAUCGGAACGUGCCUAGUAGUGGGGGAUAACUACUCGAAAGAGUGGCUAAUACCGCAUGAGAUCUACGGAUGAAAGCAGGGGAUCGCAAGACCUUGUGCUACUAGAGCGGCCGAUGGCAGAUUAGGUAGUUGGUGGGAUAAAAGCUUACCAAGCCGACGAUCUGUAGCUGGUCUGAGAGGACGAUCAGCCACACUGGGACUGAGACACGGCCCAGACUCCUACGGGAGGCAGCAGUGGGGAAUUUUGGACAAUGGGCGCAAGCCUGAUCCAGCAAUGCCGCGCGCAGGAUGAAGGCCUUCGGGUUGUAAACUGCUUUUGUACGGAACGAAAAGACCUGGGUUAAUACCCUGGGGUCAUGACGGUACCGUAAGAAUAAGCACCGGCUAACUACGUGCCAGCCGCCGCGGUAAAAC
rnacentral:rRNA from 1 species